rnacentral:misc_RNA from 1 species
UUGAAUAAACUUGAACAGGCUGUUUUGCUGACCCUUGAGAAGGGGUAUGUGCACGCUUGUUCAUCUUUACUUCUCCAACUGUGCACACAUUGUAGACCUUUAAGAAGUUUUUGGGACUUUGCUAGUCCAGCUAGCUUUUUCCCUUUGCAUAUUUUCUGGGGUCUAUGUCAUUUUUCACAAACCUAUGAAUCUGUUUAGAAUGUUGAAUCAGGUCCUUUUUGUACCUAUAAAGUUUGUAAUA